CCCAGACUCCUACGGGAGGCAGCAGUGGGGGAUAUUGCACAAUGGGGGAAACCCUGAUGCAGCGACGCCGCGUGAGUGAAGAAGUAUUUCGGUAUGUAAAGCUCUAUCAGCAGGGAAGAAAAAAGACGGUACCUGACUAAGAAGCCCCGGCUAACUACGUGCCAGCAGCCGCGGUAAUACGUAGGGGGCAAGCGUUAUCCGGAUUUACUGGGUGUAAAGGGAGCGUAGACGGCAAUACAAGUCGGAAGUGAAAUACCCGGGCUCAACCUGGGAACUGCUUUGGAAACUGUAUGGCUGGAGUGCUGGAGAGGUAAGCGGAAUUCCUAGUGUAGCGGUGAAAUGCGUAGAUAUUAGGAGGAACACCAGUGGCGAAGGCGGCUUACUGGACAGUAACUGACGUUGAGGCUCGAAAGCGUGGGGAGCAAACAGGAUUAGAUACCCCUGUA
rnacentral:rRNA from 1 species